ACCAGACUCCUACGGGAGGCAGCAGUGGGGAAUAUUGCACAAUGGGGGGAACCCUGAUGCAGCAACGCCGCGUGGGUGAAGAAGUACUUCGGUAUGUAAAGCCCUGUCAGCAGGGAAGAAAAUGACGGUACCUGACCAAGAAGCCCCGGCUAACUACGUGCCAGCAGCCGCGGUAAUACGUAGGGGGCAAGCGUUAUCCGGAUUUACUGGGUGUAAAGGGGGCGCAGACGGCGAUGCAAGCCAGGAGUGAAAGCCCGGGGCCCAACCCCGGGACUGCUCUUGGAACUGCGUGGCUGGAGUGCAGGAGGGGCAGGCGGAAUUCCUGGUGUAGCGGUGAAAUGCGUAGAUAUCAGGAGGAACACCGGUGGCGAAGGCGGCCUGCUGGACUGCAACUGACGUUGAGGCCCGAAAGCGUGGGGAGCAAACAGGAUUAGAUACCCUCGUAGU
rnacentral:rRNA from 1 species